UCCUACAUAUCUUUACCGAUAUGUUACAAAUUCGUUAUUAAAGUUUACAGGAACGGAACGAUUUCUUUACAAAACUGAUUCAGUGACUCUGUCUCUCCCGUUAUACUAGCCUUACGAUUCAAGUCCAUUUCAUUAUCCAAUGUUGCCAGCGACCAUGGAUCCAUUAAUGGCUGAUUUUAAGAUGAGUUCAUGGACAGCUUCGGGUUGGCCACAAUUAGGCAACCAGUAAAUCACCUUACUUGUCUUCCUCCAUGUAACUCGUAGAUCUUACACAUUGGAGUAGCACGCUACUUGAAUUGUUAUGAAUGAUCAAGUUGCUAGAAAAAACAGGAAAUCGUUUUUGUAGACAAGUCGAUGACAAUGGAAAAGAAAACAGAGUUGGGAAAGAAAUAAAGGAAGUAAACAAAAAAGCGAUAUACUGGUUUUCGCAUUUCCAGCAUAUAUUGGAGCCGAUCACAUUAUCCCAUACAUAGCUAAAUACAGAUAAUCAAGAUAUGGAGUGGAUAUAAACUGAUUGCUUUUACUUUCAGCUGAUGUUUUGAAUUCUUUUCAUGUUACUUUUGAUUACUACUUGAAUUCAAGUGGAAGUGGUUUUCAAAAAAAGU